AGAUUUGGUCAUAGAGCGUGACCAAGUAAAAUAAAAGAAAAGCUCAAUGAGA
ncrna:unclassified sequences 6A RNA